AUGGCCUGGACUCCUCUCCUGCUCAUGCUCCUGUCUCACUGCACAGGUUCCCUCUCCCAGCCGGUGCUGACUCAGCCUCUCUCCCUCUCUGCAUCUCUGGGAGCAUCAGCCAGACUCACCUGCACCCUGAGCAGUGGGUACAUUGUUGGCGGCUACCACAUAUUCUGGUACCAGCAGAAGCCAGGGAGCUCUCCCCGGUACCUCCUGAGGUUCAAGUCAGACUCUGAUAAGCACCAGGGCUCUGGGGUCCCCAGCCGCUUCUCUGGAUCCAAAGAUGCCUCGGCCAACUCAGGGCUUCUGCUCAUCUCUGCGCUGCAGCCCGAGGACGAGGCUGACUAUUACUGUGCUACAGCUCACAGCAACACUGGUACUUACACGGUGCUCCAGACCCACAGGGAAGGCUCCCUGCUGUGA